rnacentral:rRNA from 1 species
UACGUAGGGUGCGAGCGUUGUCCGGAAUUAUUGGGCGUAAAGAGCGUGUAGGCGGCCAUGCAGGUCAGCUGUGAAAACUCGAGGCUCAACCUCGAGACGUCGGUUGAAACCGUAUGGCUAGAGUCCGGAAGAGGAGAGUGGAAUUCCCGGUGUAGCGGUGAAAUGCGCAGAUAUCGGGAAGAACACCCGUGGCGAAGGCGGCUCUCUGGGACGGUACUGACGCUGAGACGCGAGAGCGUGGGGAGCGAACAGG